rnacentral:tRNA from 1 species
GUGCUCUUAUCAGUUCGGUAGAACGUGGGUCUCCAAAACCCGAUGUCGUAGGUUCAAAUCCUACAGAGCUCC